UCUCUCUCUCUCUCGUUCUUUUCCUCAGCCCUUAAAAACUAGUCCUCAGCCCUCCUCUUUGACGGCGUGCAUGGGUCACGGUAGGUGGGUGGCUGGUGGUCGGAUCACGGCGGCGAGCUCGAUGCAGAGGCAGGGGACUCGGCUCUCUCACUUUGCCUGGGCUCGAUGUCGCCUAGGGGUUCAAGGGCUCGACAGCGGCUGGGGGUUCAAGGGCUCGACACGCGAGUGGGGUUCUCCGGGCUGGCUGGGCUCGACGGCGCGGGGGUCUCAGGGGGUGGGAUCGAUCGUGCAAGGACGGCGCAGGGAGGGGUUGGGCUGGGCUGGGUUUGGGUCGACUGUGCAGGGAGGGUGGCUGGGCUCGGGCUGGGACGGUGGCUAGGCUCGGCAGGGACGGUGGCUGGGCUCGGGCUGGGACGGUGGCUGGGCUCGGCAGGGACGGUGCAGGGAGGGGCUCGGCAGCAGGGACGGUGGGCACAUGCCAAUGAAAGGGACAAAAAUGUAUUGUUAUUGUAAUUGAAUGACCUUCUUUUAGGCAUAUGAGUAUCCUCCCGCCUAUAACUGGAUCAACAGUCAGUUUUUUGCUGGAGGCUUCAUCUGAUCCAAUGACUAGAAGUAACAUCUAAUUUCCUAUAAACUGAUGUCUUUCCUCUUUAUCUAUUUCAAGCAUGUGCUUACAUGUUCUGACCUUUUUGUAUUCUUUGAAAUAGUAUGCAUAUUUUUUUAUAAUAGAAUCAAUCUCAUGUUUGAUGUCUUAAUCUAAUUUUAAAAUGAAAGGGAAAGGAACCAUAUAAUGUGAAAUAGGGUAUAUGUGUAGCUGUGUGUAAUUACACAUAUUUGAAUAUUUGAUUUCAUAUUCAAGAUCAUUGACAAACUAAAGAAUGGAAACCACUCCAGUAUGUGUACCAUAUAAUGUGAAAUAGGGUAUCUAUGUGUAGCUGUGUGUAAUUACUGAUUUUUUUUGCUGCUUCUUUAAUGGCUACUACUUGUAUUUUGCUAUUAGCUUUUGGUAUAUUUCUUGACUGGAUUUUGGUGCAUUUUGCAACUGGUUUGAAUGGAUUAAUAUGAUUAAUUUGGUCAAUUCUGAAUUGAUUGAUAUUUUGGGGCUUAAAAUUGAGUUUUGCUUUUGUAGCUUUUUGAAAUAUGGGAACUAGCAAAACGGAAGUAAAUUUAAGAAGAUUACUUGCUGCUGCACCUAAACAGCAGAACCAAGGAAAGCUUGUUCAUGCUUUUGGACCAUAGCAGUAUCUAAUAGAGCAGAAAUGUGCGUCUAUAUAAAGGAAGUUGAAGAGCUAUGGAAGCAGGUCUAUAUUGAGAAGCAUUUCUUUGGCGCAAUACUAGACAACAUUGACAGUUGAAGUUUUUAGAAUAAAAAAUAUAUUUCACCAACAUUGGAUACAUUUCUUGUUUAUUAUUUGGUGAUGAUAAAAUUUGAUUGUAGUAUAAACUAUCAUGUAAUAUGAUUUUGUAAGCCGAGUAGACUAAAUAUUGAAGUUAUAUUUUUGAGUAAUUAAUAAAAAAUUAUUUUGUUA